rnacentral:rRNA from 1 species
AAUGAACGUUGGCGGCGUGGAUUAGGCAUGCAAGUCGAGCGCGAUACCUCCUUCGGGAGGUGGAAAGCGGCGAAAGGGAGAGGAACACGUGGAUUAUCUACCCCUGGACCCAGGAUAGCUGCGGGAAACUGCAGGUAAUACUGGAUAACGUCUCCGGACCAAAGGUGUGAUUCCGUCCAGGGAGGAGUUCGCGUCCUAUUAGCUAGUUGGUAGGGUAACGGCCUACCAAGGCGAUGAUGGGUACCGGGUGUGAGAGCAUGGCCCGGCUCACUGGGACUGAGACACUGCCCAGACACCUACGGGUGGCUGCAGUCGAGGAUCUUCGGCAAUGGGCGCAAGCCUGACCGAGCGACGCCGCGUGCGGGAUGAAGGCCUUCGGGUUGUAAACCGCUGUCAGAGGGGAUGAAAUGCGGGUGGGUUCUCCCAUUCGUUUGACAUAUCCUCAGAGGAAGUACGGGCUAAGUUCGUGCCAGCAGCCGCAGUAAAAC